CCAAAUACUAAUUGAGUGUAUGUAAACUUCUGACCCACUGGGAAUGUGAUGAAAGAAAUAAAAGCUGAAAUAAAUAAUUCUCUCUACUAUUAUUCUGACAUUUCACAUUUUUUAAAUAAAGUGGUGAUCCUAACUGACCUAAGACAGGGAAUUUUUACUAGGAUUAAAUGUCAGGAAUUGUGAAAAACUGAGUUUAAAUGCAUUUGGCUAAGGUGUAUGUAAACUUCCGACUUGAACUGUAUAUAUACAACAGAGUCCAUGCCCAUCUUUCGAAAACAUCUGAAACCCCACCCCAAAAAAGGUACUUCUCUUUCUCCACUAGCACUGACUUUGCUGAUAAAUACUUUGUUGAGGGAAAAUGUACCUGCUACCAUUGUGAUGUGUUGUUGUCUCACCUAGCUACAGUGUCUUAAGAUGAACGCACUUAUUGUAAGUCAUUCUGAAUAAUAGAGUCUGCUAAAUGACUAACACGUCUCCAUGACAGGCUACAGGACAUUCUGUUAUGUACACAUCUCCAUUUCAGGCUACAGGACAUUCUGUUAUGUACACGUCUUCAUGACAGGCUACAGGACAUUCUGUUAUGUACACGUCUCCAUUUCAGGCUACAGGACAUUCUGUUAUGUACAUGUCUUCAUGACAGGCUACAGGACAUUCUGUUAUGUACACGUCCUCAUGACAGGCUACAGGACAUUCUGUUAUGUACAACGACAACAGAGUAGAUAUAUUAUACCUCAACAGGAAAUGCAUCUGUACCGUGUGUUUUACCUGUUUCUCUGUCUGUGUCAGUGUCCAGUACAUGUGAGUCUAUAGUGUGUCCAGUACAUGUGAGUCUAUAGUGUGUCCAGUACAUGUGAGUCUAUAGUGUGUCCAGUACAUGUGAGUCUAUAGUGUGUCCAGUACAUGUGAGUCUAUAGUGUGUCCAGUACAUGAGUCUAUAGUGUGUCCAGUACAUGUGAGUCUAUAGUGUGUCCAGUACAUGUGAGUCUAUAGUGUGUCCAGUACAUGUGAGUCUAUAGUGUGUCCAGUACAUGUGAGUCUAUAGUGUGUCCAGUACAAGUGAGUCUAUAGUGUGUCCAGUACUUGUGAGUCUAUGUGUAUGACCAGUCUUGCAGAGGGCAGAGAGAGGUGAUGGGGGACAUUAAGAGUGUGAAUGUGACUUUGAGGCUUGCCGCUGCAGACGACCUUUGCUUCGCUCACAGCACGAUACGCUCCACACUCCAUUUCAUUUCCCCUACCUCAGAUGGCUGCUGAGGGGAGGAUGACUCAUAAUAAUGGCUGGAAUGGAGUGAAUGGUAUCAAACACAUAGAAACCAUGUGUUUGACGUGUUCGACACCAUUCCAUUUAUUCCAUGCCAGCCAUUACUAUGAUCCUGUCCUCCCCAACUAAGGUUCCACCAGCCGCCUGUGGUGUCUACAUAGAACUUCCAUUACCUGUCUCACUAUCUACCUACUGCUAUGACCUUUUCUACGACCUUCUCCUAAAACACAAAUUGUCUUCCGUUAGUCACCUGUUACAUCUCACUCCCGCUGGCUCUCUGCACUCUCUGUGUCACCAGGAGUUCUGUCCCUGCUGAUUGGCUGACUGACACACGCCAGAAUCGCCAUUACUAAUCAUGCUCAACACAUGGGGAUCAGAACACAGCAAACCGGCACUUCCAGACAAGCACCAAAUGGAGGACUAAAGUAAACACACUACUCUGACAUGUUGGGACAUGUCUCCUUUAUAAAAACAGAUGAAUCUCAACCUGUAGAAUGCAUUUUUCUAACUUUGUGUGAGGCCUGAUGUAGGCCUGUCUCUAGAAGGCCGACACUGAGUGACCUUAAGUGUCUUUCUGCCCCCAAGACCAGACCAAACCAGACCAGACUGAUCAAACCCAGGCCCCUGUGUCUGACCCAGAAACCAGAGCCCAGAGGCCACAGUGGCCCCAGGACAGUGGUGCUCAAUAACACAGACUUCAAGAUGACAUAUAUACACACAGGCCCUGGCAAAGUCAAGUCAAGAUCACAACACACAACAAAAGAAAUCCCCUAAUGGAAAAUGCUCAAUAUUAAACACGCAUAUAGAAAACAGAAGUAACCAAUAUAUAGAUACAGGCUUCAACUCAACAUUCAUGACAGAAAAAGACAGAUAAAGAGAGAGAGAGAAAGAGAGAUAGGGAGAGAAAGAGUGAGAGAGGAAGAGACAUACCUUACUUAAGAGUUCCUGUUUAACUCCUUCGACUGUAGUGUGAUCACUACUGCCCCAUCCAGCCUGGUCAAACGUUAACUCAGCAUUAACACGCAAUACUUUAUUGAACCUAUUCAUUGUCUAAUCUCCCCGCCUCUACAACAGGCCGAGCCAAUAGAGAAACAGGGGGACAGGAGAAGUGAGUGUAACUAAGGGAUGUAAUAAAUUAAUAUAACAUUAUUAUAGUAUAAUAUAACAUGAUCGUCACAGAAUGGCAACCAUGAACAGGACACAGGAACCAAAAGUACUGUAGGUUGUAAUGUAUGUAUGAAUAUUCAGUGCUAAGCCCCUAUUAGAGUUCUUACUGUUACUACAAGCUAAAGGCUCAUCUCUGUAGAACCAUACAACUGGCUACUGGACUCAUCACCGCACAGUCAAAACCAGCAGGCAGACUGAACAAUCUGUAAGGGUGGAGGUGGGGAUUACAAAGGACUGGAAAAGAUUCUCACUCAAAGCGGACUUUAACCUUUGACUUUAUGAACUGCUUCCUGUCUGAGAAUGUCUAGUAGUAAGCUGUUUAGAGGAGCUUAGCUGAGACACAGAUAUGACUGCUUCCUGUCUGAGAAUGUCUAGUAGUAAGCUGUUUAGAGGAGCUUAGCUGAGACACAAAUAUGACUGCUUCCUGUCUGAGAAUGUCUAGUAGUAAGCUGUUUAGAGGAGCUUAGCUGAGACACAGAUAUGACUGCUUCCUGUCUGAGAAUGUCUAGUAGUAAGCUGUUUAGAGGAUCUUAGCUGAGACACAAAUAUGACUGCUUCCUGUCUGAGAAUGUCUAGUAGUAAGCUGUUUAGAAGAGCUUAGCUGAGACACAGAUAUGACUGCUUCUCACACAGACACACACCUCUGAUAGGUCCCCUGUAAUAAUGAACUGAUACAGUGUGCUGAUUGGUGGAAUAAGGAACUGUAUCCCAAAUAGUCAGACAGGCCAGGUGAUCUUGUCGUAUUUACAGUUGCUGACUUGGUGUUGUGCACUUAGCAUCACAAGAAAAUUCAAAAGACUCCAUGCUGCAUCACCUCUGGCCGUGAUUGGGAGUCCCACAGGGCGGAGCACAAUUGACCCAGCGUCAUCUGGGUCUCAUUGUAAAUAAGAAUAUGUUCUUAACUGACUUGCCUAGUUAAAUAAAGGUAAAAUACACAUUUAAAAAAAAAGUUCAAAACCACUGGUCUAAACUAAAGGUACCAUGUGGUUAGUUGAGAAUUACCCAAAUGUAUAACCACAAACCCAUAUCUCUGUAGUUCUCUGUCCCUCCAUGAAAGA
rnacentral:lncRNA from 13 species